AUGUUUUACCCAGGUUCGGGCCCUCUCGAUGGAGGCUUCGCUGCUAACGUCUGCCGCAUGACUGCGGAGGUGAGCACAUUGAAGCAGGACCUCGAGCGGUCCGAGCAAGAGCUCGGCCUUGCCAAGCGGCAGCUCGAGGAGAAGGAAGGGGCCACGACUGAGGUGGCGACCCUUAAGCAAGCGCUGUCCGAGGCCGAGAAGAGGGCGGCCACGGAGCGCACCGAGCGGGAGAAGUAUGAGGCGCAGGUUGGCGAGGUACGGCGAGAGCUCCAGGCUCUCAUGAAAAAACAUGAGAGUUUGGAGUUUGACUCGAAGACGCGAGCAUCCGAGCUCGCGGCGGCCAUUGAAAAUGCCAAGUCUACCAAGGCCGAAGCCCAGAAGGCCCUUCAGGAGGUGGAUGCGAUGAAAAAGAUAGCAGCGGGUUUGCCCCGCAGCGUGUCCGAUGCCGCCGCAUUCUACCGACCCGAGGAGGGCAGCUCAACGGAGAAGGUGUUCUGGUCUCAGUAUGCUGAGGCCGGACACCCUGUGCCUUGA
rnacentral:rRNA from 1 species